rnacentral:rRNA from 1 species
UGGGGAAUAUUGCACAAUGGGCGCAAGCCUGAUGCAGCCAUGCUGCGUGUAUGAAGAAGGCCUUCGGGUUGUAAAGUACUUUCAGCGAGGAGGAAGGCGGUAAGGUUAAUAACCUUAUCGAUUGACGUUACUCGCAGAAGAAGCACCGGCUAACUCCGUGCCAGCAGCCGCGGUAAUACGGAGGGUGCAAGCGUUAAUCGGAAUUACUGGGCGUAAAGCGCACGCAGGCGGUCUGUCAAGUCGGAUGUGAAAUCCCCGGGCUCAACCUGGGAACUGCAUUCGAAACUGGCAGGCUAGAGUCUUGUAGAGGGGGGUAGAAUUCCAGGUGUAGCGGUGAAAUGCGUAGAGAUCUGGAGGAAUACCGGUGGCGAAGGCGGCCCCCUGGACAAAGACUGACGCUCAGGUGCGAAAGCGUGGGGAGCAAACA